rnacentral:rRNA from 1 species
UGCAUUAAUGAAAGAUGAGCGGCGGACGGGUGAGUAACGCGUGGGUAACCUGCCCUAUACACAUGGAUAACAUACUGAAAAGUUUACUAAUACAUGAUAAUAUAUAUUUACGGCAUCGUAGAUAUAUCAAAGUGUUAGCGGUAUAGGAUGGACCCGCGUCUGAUUAGCUAGUUGGUGAGAUAACUGCCCACCAAGGCGACGAUCAGUAGCCGACCUGAGAGGGUGAUCGGCCACAUUGGAACUGAGACACGGUCCAAACUCCUACGGGAGGCAGCAGUGGGGAAUAUUGCACAAUGGGCGCAAGCCUGAUGCAGCAACGCCGCGUGAACGAUGAAGGUCUUCGGAUCGUAAAGUUCUGUUGCAGGGGAAGAUAAUGACGGUACCCUGUGAGGAAGCCCCGGCUAACUACGUGCCAGCAGCCGCGGUAAUACGUAGGGGGCUAGCGUUAUCCGGAUUUACUGGGCGUAAAGGGUGCGUAGGUGGUCUUUCAAGUCGGUGGUUAAAGGCUACGGCUCAACCGUAGUUAGCCUCCGAAACUGGAAGACUUGAGUGCAGGAGAGGAAAGUGGAAUUCCCAGUGUAGCGGUGAAAUGCGUAGAUAUUGGGAGGAACACCAGUAGCGAAGGCGGCUUUCUGGACUGCAACCGACACUGAGGCACGAAAGCGUGGGUAGCAAACAGGAUUAGAUACCCUGGUAGUCCACGCUGUAAACGAUGAGUACUAGGUGUCGGGGGUUACCCCCCUCGGUGCCGCAGCUAACGCAUUAAACACUCCGCCUGGGGAGUACGC